GGCCCUCUUCACCUGCGUCAUGUGACCACAAGAGGAGAGUGGAUGUUUCAACUAAAAUUGAUAAAAAUGAAGAGGGAAGGGUGACUUGAAAUGUCCUGGUUUGGAUAACAAAUUAUCUGUCCACCUAUGCAUUUGGAAAAUUGGAAAUCUGAGGCCUGAAGAAGGAAGAGGAAUUAGCGGCUGUGGUGUCUUCAGCUGAUGGACAUCUCAAGGGGAACGGCAGGACACCUGUGGAGCCUGUGACUGCAUCUGGGGACCAGCUAGUUUGUCCCAUGCUUUGUGUGAAAAGCUCAAAUAAAUAUGAUUCUUACC